ACCUAGUCCCACCACACCCCCAAGGGUACUCAGCAGUGAUAAACAUUGUCUAUAAGCGCCAGCUUGACCCAGUUAUAAAGAAGAGGGCCGGCCAACUUGGUGCCAGCCGCCGCGGCUAGACCAACUGGACUCAAAUUGAUAAUUCCCGGCGUUAAGCGUGAUUAAAGCCACACACCAAUUAGAGUUAAACCUAUGUUGAGCAGUGAAAAGCACACGAUAGGGAAACCCAGAAACGAAAGUUACUCUAAUCUCUGCUUGAAUACACGACAGCUAGAAUACAAACUGGGAUUAGAUACCCCACUAUGUCUAGCCGUAAACUAUUAACCCACACUAACCCCGCGCCAGGGAACUACGAGCCUUAGCUUAAAACCCAAAGGACUUGACGGUGUCCCACCCAACUAGAGGAGCCUGUUCUAUAAUCGAUAACCCCCGCUUCACCCAACCCCCCCUUGCUUUAUCAGCCUGUAUACCUCCGUCGUAAACCCGCCGUAUGAAUGUACUUAAGCGGAUUCAAUGGUCUCCCACCAACACGUCAGGUCAAGGUGCAGCCAAUGGGGGUGGUAACUAAUGGGCUACAAUUUCUAACCUAGAACAAACGAAGUACUGUAUGAAACACAGUCAUGAAGGAGGAUUUAGUAGUAAAAAGAAAGUAGCGUGUUCUUUUUAACACGGCCCUGGGACGUGUACACA
rnacentral:rRNA from 1 species